GAUGAAGAACGUAGCGAAAUGCGAUAAGUAAUGUGAAUUGCAGAAUUCAGUGAAUCAUCGAAUCUUUGAACGCACAUUGCGCCCGCCAGCACUCUGGCGGGCAUGCCUGUUCGAGCGUCAUUUCAACCAUCAAGCCCUGCUUGUGUUGGGGUCCUGCGGCUGCCCGCAGGCCCUGAAAACCAGUGGCGGGCUCGCUAGUCACACCGAGCGCAGUAGCACAUCUCGCUCAGGGCGUGCGGCGGGCUCCAGCCGUUAAAGCACCCACCUUUCGCAAGGUUGACCUCGGAUCAGGUAGGAAUACCCGCUGAACUUAAGCAUAUCAAUAAGCGGAGGA
rnacentral:misc_RNA from 1 species